GAUGAACGCUGGCGGCGUGCCUAAUACAUGCAAGUCGAGCGAACGGACGAGAAGCUUGCUCCCCUGAUGUUAGCGGCGGACGGGUGAGUAACACGUGGAUAACCUACCUAUAAGACUGGGAUAACUUCGGGAAACCGGAGCUAAUACUGGCUAAUAUUUUGAACCGCAUGGAUCAAAAGUGCAUGACGGUUUUGCUGUCACUUAUAGAUGGAUCCGCGUUGCAUUAGCUAGUUGGUAAGGUAACGGCUUACCAAGGCAACGAUGCGUAGCUGACCUGAGAGGGUGAUCGGCCACACUGGAACUGAGACACGGUCCAGACUCCUACGGGAGGCAGCAGUAGGGAAUCUUCCGCAAUGGGCGAAAGCCUGACGGAGCAACGCCGCGUGAGUGAUGAAGGUCUUCGGAUCGUAAAACUCUGUUAUUAGGGAAGAACAUAUGUGUAAGUAACUGUGCACGUCUUGACGGUACCUAAUCAGAAAGCCACGGCUAACUACGUG
rnacentral:rRNA from 1 species